rnacentral:rRNA from 1 species
UACGUAGGGGGCAAGCGUUAUCCGGAUUUACUGGGUGUAAAGGGAGCGUAGACGGCGAUGCAAGUCUGAAGUGAAAGGCGGGGGCCCAACCCCCGGACUGCUUUGGAAACUGUAUGGCUGGAGUGCAGGAGAGGUAAGUGGAAUUCCUAGUGUAGCGGUGAAAUGCGUAAAUAUUAGGAGGAACACCAGUGGCGAAGGCGGCCUGCUGGGCUUUAACUGACGCUGAGGCUCGAAAGCGUGGGUAGCAAACAGG